rnacentral:lncRNA from 1 species
CAAGGAAAUAAAAUGUUAAUAUGAUUAAUGCCAUACUGUUCUUUUCUUUUUUCCUGUUGUUUCGUUAUCGAAUACACCACCGGAUAUAAAAUGGUUUAUAAACAUAUCCUGUGAAUCAUGUGCAUUCGAUGUACUAUAGUAUAUAAAGUUUUGCUAAUUUAGAUAGAUUGACUCUCAUUACGUCAUUUAUUAAGCUAAACUUUCCCCGAUUUCUUAAUAAAACGGUAGAACUAUAACGAUAAG